AUGAACACAUACUCAUACUCCUCGUCAGAGGAGGAUGAAUGCAGUUACAGAAUCACCCACCAACCAAGGACCAAGCAGCGUGGUAUCGGGCAGCAGCGAUCUCUGGACUCAUGGACAUGGGAGGAGAUUUUGGACGGAAAAGGACCCUGGGCACAGGCUGGGGAAUAUCGCCGCCCCAAGGAAGAACUGGAGGCAGCGAGAGCUGAGUGGCGGCGAUAUGAGGAGGUAGCACGGCAGCGCGACAGGCACGAGAGGCAGCUCCAAAAUGUUUUUGGGAGGAGGCACACGGGGAGUGUGGCAGAGUCAGGUUGGAGACCUGAGCCCACUCCUCGUGCUUACCGGAAGAAGCACAGUACUGGUCAGGCACCGUGUUAUGCGGUCAAGCGCACGGUAUCGCCAGUACGCGCUCAUAGCCCGGUGGGCUAUAGGCCAGCCCCCCGCAAGUGCCAAGCGAGAGUGGGCAUCCAGCCAGGGCGUGUUGUGCCAGCCCAGCGUGUUCGAUCUCCAGUACGCCGUUUCGGCCCAGGGUAUCCUGCGCCGGCUCUGCGUGCUGUGUCUCCGAGGAGCUGGGAAGGUGCAGUGCGUCCUAUGCCUGCGCUCCGCCCGUGCCGGGUGAAUGUGGGUAUUGAGCCUAAGGGAGAGGUGCGAGUGGUAUGCACCAGAUCUCCAGUGCUCACCCACAGCCCGGUCCAUCCGGUGCCUCCUCCAAGCACCAGGCCUCCUGUAGGUCUCCCCAGCUUGGUGGGUCCUGUGGCAGCCCCACGCACCAGGCUGUCUCUCCGUCUCCUCCCUCCAGGUCCGCCCGUCUGUCCUGAGCUGCCAGAGCCGCCCGUCUGUCCUGAGCUGCCAGAGCCGCCCGUCUGUCCUGAGCUGCCAGAGCCGCCCGUCUGUCCUGAGCUGCCAGAGCCGCCUGUCUGUCCUGAGCUGCCAGAGCUGCCCGUCAGUGAGGAGCUGCCAGAGCCGCCCGUCAGUCAAGAGCUGCCAAAGCCGCCCGUCAGUUAG
rnacentral:lncRNA from 1 species